UACAGAGGGUGCGAGCGUUAAUCGGAAUUACUGGGCGUAAGGCGUGCGUAGACGGUUAUUUAAGUCGGGUGUGAAAGCCCCGGGCUCAACCUGGGAAUUGCAUUCGAGACUGAAUAGCUAGGGUACGGUAGAGGGAAGUGGAAUUUCCGGUGUAGCGGUGAAAUGCGUAGAUAUCGGAAGGAACAUCAGUGGCGAAAGCGACUUCCUGGACCAGUACCGACGUUCAGGCACGAAAGCGUGGGGAGCGAUCCGG
rnacentral:rRNA from 1 species